UGCAGCAGUCUGAGCCCCGGUUACCCUGGGUGACUUUAAACUGCAGAAACUAAUCCCAUACCCAUUUAAUCUGCCUAACUCAGAACUUCUAAAAGAGAUGACCCAGGAAAAAGCACUUUCACUUGGCAGUCCUCCACCAAAGACACCCCGCUCCAAACAACAGAAUUAACAAGAAAAAGAACAGAAAAGAAAUAUCUUGCUCAAGGGAAUGAGGAAUUCACCACUGCUGCGACAUUAAUGGUGAUGGCUAUUUGUGAAGCCUACUGAACCCUGGAUGGCUCUGAAGAAGACCCCUAGGAGAAACUGUAUCUUUAGCUUUUGAGCAAUGCAGCUAAUUUUUCACCCAAAGGUGACAAAAUCAAAGGUUUGACCCAUGACCAUUGACUUGGAAAACCAAAAUGCAGGAGUCUCUGUUUCAGCUACAGAGCAUCCGGAAGACAGAGGGGAGAGCUGAACAGAUGAAUGGACAACAAGUAGUAGGUUUAAAGAUGAUCCCUCAAGGAAGCCAUUGUGAGAAGGCUACUUUGGACCUGGAGGAAAUUAUAUCCUGAGAAAAUGAAAGAUUGCAACACGUUGGUGAGAAGAGGAUAUUAU